AUUGAUCUUCAGCAUUCCAUGCUUGUUGUAAGAGACAACUAACCGGAUCGGGUGGUCAGGCUCACUGAUUAGUUUAUACAUGUCAUCAUAGCCCAAUGUCGUAAAUCGAUGCUCAUGCUGUUGAUCACUGGAUUGUCUGGUCCAGACUCGAUUAUUUACAGACCGCUGCCAUAU